ACCUGAGUGGCUCAGUUGGUUGAGCAUCUGACUUUGGCUCAGGUCAUGAUCUCGCAGUUCGUGAGUUCAGGCCCCACAUCAGGCU
rnacentral:tRNA from 1 species